AAAAAGAAUUAGAUAAAGCUGAAUUGUUUUUGGUAUGCUCUAAAAUCUCCUCUUUUAUAAGCCCUUCUCAAGACCCUAGUUUUGUUACUUUACUUUUGGACUAUGUCUAUAGCUGUCAAAUGGUCCGUCCAGGGACCAUUGGGCGUGUUCGUAUGGACAGUUUUUUCUAUGGGCCAAGUUGGACGGUCCAUAAUGGACAAUGGUCCGAAAAAUGUCCAUGACCAAUAAAAAUCAUGUCCAUAUGGGCAAGCCCAUGUAUAACCCAUUUUAUUAUUGAUAAAUUAAAAAUCAUGAUUUUAAAGAAUUGUGUUUUUGCAUUUUGCAUUUUUCCGACAAAACGGUAAAAUUGUGUUUUUCUUACCAAUACAAUAAAAUCACGAUUUUGGCGGAAAAAUUCUGAAAUUGUUUUUUCCCGCCAAAACGGUAGAAUCGUAAAAUUGUUUUUUCCCGCCAAAACGGAGAAUUGUGUUUUCUCACCAAAACUGUAAAAUUGUGUUUUUCGCCAAUAUAAUAAAAUCACGAUUUUGGCAGAAAAAUUGCGUUUUCCCGCCAAAACCGUAAAAUCGGAGAAUUGCGUUUUCCCGUCGAAACUGUAAAAUUGUGUUCUCGCCAAUAUAAUAAAAUCCCGUUUUAGAGGAAAUUUGCGGAAUUACGUUUUUCCGUCAAAAUCGUAAAAUCGGAGAAUUGUAUUUUUCCCUCAAUUCAUGCCCAUGGGCAGCCCAUUGUCCAUAUGGUCAAGCCCAUAUUAUCCGCGGACAAAACUGGUCAUAUGCCCAAUUGGACCAUUUGUUUUAUGGUCCGGAAUAUAGCCCGUCCAUAUGCAUUUGGACUGGGCAAGCCCAUGGACCGUCUGUCCAAUUGACAGCUCUAACUAUGUCAGGUGUCAGCACUAAAGAUUAAAUAGCACCAAAUAUCUCUUUACAUUAGAACUUGAUUGAUAGUAGCUAAAUAGCUAAGGACAUGGUCUUUUGAUCAACAU
rnacentral:sRNA from 1 species